CCUCACAAUCAGACAAACACAUAUCAACACUGUCAACAAGAUCAGAACACACACCUCACAAUCAGACCAACACACAUCAACACUGUCAACAAGGUGUGGGAUCAGUCAUCAGUGUAAGAAGAGCAUCCAGCAAACUCCACACAAACCAAGAGGAAACUCACAGCACAACGUCCUGCUCCUGAAGGCCUUAGAAACACACACACACACACACACUGAUCUGGCCAGCGUUCACUAGUGCUAACCUCUCCAAAACACUAGCGUCCACACACACACACACACACACACACACACACACUUUUGCCUGUUGUUUGUCUUGGUUUUCCUGUCUCUUCUCUUGUUUACGUCCCUCUGUUUCCUGUGGAAGUUUGUUUCCGCUUCACAGUUAAGGAAUUGAAACUGAACUCAUCUCACAGUUCUGAAUAUUUGACUCAGUCGUCAGUCUGAAACAGCUUGCAUUUCUCUCUUUCUGAAUUAUAAGUAAGACAACAUGGUAGUUUUGAGUUUACAUCUGCAAUUCAGAUUGCAAUUUAAUUAUGGGAUAUAAUUAAACAUUUUCAGAUAAGAUCAUUUGCAACAAUUCUUAUUUGUACUACUCUCAGCGACGCAUUAUAAACUUGAUAUCAUUUAAAAUGAGUCGGUUAAAUAUUAUUAGUCACAAUAUUUGCAAUUAAUAUACAUUUUUGUUGUCAUAAUUCAAUAUUUUUUCGGUCCAUUAUAAAUUCAAUACAAGUAUAUAUAUAUAUAUUCUUUUGAUGAAUCUUAAUUCAAAAUUUGUUGUAAAAUAUAUUUGAACAAUUCCUGUAAUUCUCAAUUUAAAUCUAAUGAAUAUAAAGAUUUUAGAAUCUGAAUUUACAUAUAUGCAAAUUAAAUCUAACUUGCAAUUUUGUUUACAUCCUUGUUUACAUCCUGCGUUAAAUUAACAUUCAUCUUUUAAUAAAUGUUAAUUCAAGAUUAGUUUAUUGUUUGAGGAUUUGAACAAUUCUUGUAAUUCUGAAUUUAAAUCUAAUUAAUAUGUUCGUUAACUGAUAUUGAAAUUUGCAUAUAUGCAUAUUAAAUAUCAGUUGAGGUUCUGUGUUUUACAUCCUGAUAUUCUUUUAAUUGAUCUGAAUUCAGAACUUGUUGUAAAAUAACUUUAAAUUCUGAAUUGCAGGAAUUGUUCAAAUUUAGUUCAUAUUGUUUUUAGAAUCAGAAUUUACAUAUAUACAAAUUAAAUAUAACUGGCAGAUCUGUUUACAUCCUGCGAUUCUUUUAAUGAAUCUUAAUUCAAAAUUAGUUUACUGUUAAAAUAUUUUAACCAUCUAAUUAAAAAAUUGUUGCUAAAUAUAUUUGAACAAUUCCUGCAAAUCUGAAUAUAAAUCUAAUUCAUAUUUUUAGAAUCGAAAUUUACAUAUAUGCAAAUUAAAUAUAACUUGCAGAUUUGUGUUUACAUCCUGCGAUUCUUUUAAUUAAUCUUAGUUCAAAAUUUGGUUUUUAUUGUUAAAAUAUUGUAAUUCUGAAAUCAGUUCUAAUGAAUAUUUAUUUCUUAAGAAUCGAAAUUUACAUAUUUGCAAAUUAAAUAUAACUUGCAGAUCUGUUUACAUCCUGCGAUUAUUUUAAUAAAUAUUAAUUCAAAUUUAGUUGAUUUAAAGUAUUUUAACGGUUCUAAAUCUAAUGAAUAUUUCUUUAGAAUCGAAAUUUACAUUUAUGCAAAUUAAAUAUAACUUGUAGUCCUGCGAUACUUUUUUUUACGUAAAAAAUUGAGACAAGUUCAGAAUCAUGAGAUACGUUUAAUUUCGAAAGCACACUUCCACAGCUUCCUCUUGACUUCCUCCCUUGUUUCCUUCCUGCACUACCCACAAUCCCUGGCGACAGCGUAGCGUCCGUCUCGAAGGAGCGGAGACUUUGUAAACCUUCAGAAUGUCACGUUAAACAGCUUGUAAAUAUACUCCCGAUGUGAUGUUUUUUAUAAGACUAUCAAAGCGAAUCGCGAGGCGGGUCUAUAUUUUUGUUAAAAAAUAAAAAUAACCGAAUGGCAAGAAACUCAUUUGUAACGCGCGUGGAUUGCGAACCGUUCCCAGCGCUUCACCGUGGACCGUUGUGCUUGAAUCAAGCUGGCGUGUGUUCGUCGUAUCGUGAUAAUAUCGUCCGCUUUUUCUCGAUAGCACACACACACACACCGAGACGGUUUUCCACGAUGAACUCAGGAUUAGAAUGUAUGAAUCCUACGGAAAUUAAUUUCUGCGAACGAAUUGUCGUUCUGUCGCAUGGAGACGUGGUUUUCUUCUCAUUUCUGUUUCAUGCUAAUCCAUGCUACCGUUUAACCCACUGCUGACCAGAGAUGUAGCGUUUCUUGUUUGAUCAUUUUUUAUGAUUAUGGUCUGAUAGCAUUAUCUAUAGCCACUAAUAAACUAAAGAUCUAUCUUUAUCUGA